rnacentral:rRNA from 1 species
UGGGGAAUAUUGGACAAUGGGCGCAAGCCUGAUCCAGCAAUGCCGCGUGUGUGAAGAAGGCCUUCGGGUUGUAAAGCACUUUAAGCAGGGAAGAAAAAACUCGGUCUAAUACAUCGAGUCUUGACGGUACCUGAAGAAUAAGCACCGGCUAACUCUGUGCCAGCAGCCGCGGUAAUACAGAGGGUGCUAGCGUUAAUCGGAUUUACUGGGCGUAAAGCGUGUGUAGGUGGUUGUUCAAGUCAGUUGUGAAAAUCCCUGGGCUUAAACCUGGGAACUGCUUCUGAGACUGAACGACUAGAGUACGGUAGAGGGUGGUGGAAUUUCCGGUGUAGCGGUGAAAUGCGUAGAUAUCGGAAGGAACAUCAAUGGCGAAGGCAGCCA